rnacentral:rRNA from 1 species
GUUGACCUCGGAUCAGGUAGGGAUACCCGCUGAACUUAAGCAUAUCAAUAAGCGGAGGAAAAGAAACCAACAGGGAUUGCUCUAGUAACGGCGAGUGAAGCAGCAAUAGCUCAAAUUUGAAAUCUGGCGUCUUCGACGUCCGAGUUGUAAUUUGUAGAGGAUGCUUCUGAG